rnacentral:rRNA from 1 species
UCCUAGAAAAGGACCA